rnacentral:SRP_RNA from 1 species
UUGGACCUCAGACAGCUUUCCUCGUUAGCCGAAUCGCUAGCCAAUCGUGUG